rnacentral:rRNA from 1 species
AUGCUCACGUCCUGGUCCACUCGGAAGCACCGCAGCAGGUGCAUCUUCGACAACCAACAACCUUCCGUCUCCUCACUCGUAUACGAGCUCAAGGACGAGGCGCGGUUAUGGGCCAAAGCCGGAGCCACGGCGAUGAGAACCUACUUCCCAAGAUGUGGCCUCUUGUUCUUGGAGCUGAGCAACCCCUUUUCCUCUGCUCAGGUGCACUAG